GACGAACGCUGGCGGCGUGCCUAAUACAUGCAAGUCGAGCGAGUCUGCCUUGAAGAUCGGAGUGCUUGCACUCUGUGAAACAAGAUACAGGCUAGCGGCGGACGGGUGAGUAACACGUGGGUAACCUGCCCAAGAGAUCGAGAUAACACCUGGAAACAGAUGCUAAUACCGGAUAACAACAGAUGAUGCCUAUCAACUGUUUAAAAGAUGGUUCUGCUAUCACUCUUGGAUGGACCUGCGGUGCAUUAGCUAGUUGGUAGGGUAACGGCCUACCAAGGCGAUGAUGCAUAGCCGAGUUGAGAGACUGAUCGGCCACAUUGGGACUGAGACACGGCCCAAACUCCUACGGGAGGCAGCAGUAGGGAAUCUUCCACAAUGGACGCAAGUCUGAUGGAGCAACGCCGCGUGAGUGAAGAAGGGUUUCGGCUCGUAAAGCUCUGUUGUUGGUGAAGAAGGACAGGGGUAGUAACUGACCUUUGUUUGACGGUAAUCAAUUAGAAAGUCACGGCUAACUACGUG
rnacentral:rRNA from 1 species